rnacentral:rRNA from 1 species
GAUGAACGCUGGCGGCGUGCCUAAUACAUGCAAGUCGAGCGAACAGAUGAGGAGCUUGCUCCUCUGACGUUAGCGGCGGACGCCCCCCUCACACGUGGAUAACCUACCUAUAAGACUGGGAUAACUUCGGGAAACCGGAGCUAAUACCAGAUAAUAUAUUGAACCGCAUGGUUCAAUAGUGAAAGACGGUUUUGCUGUCACUUAUAGAUGGAUCCGCGCCGCAUUAGCUAGUUGGUAAGGUAACGGCUUACCAAGGCAACGAUGCGUAGCCGACCUGAGAGGGUGAUCGGCCACACUGGAACUGAGACACGGUCCAGACUCCUACGGGAGGCAGCAGUAGGGAAUCUUCCGCAAUGGGCGAAAGCCUGACGGAGCAACGCCGCGUGAGUGAUGAAGGUCUUCGGAUCGUAAAACUCUGUUAUUAGGGAAGAACAAAUGUGUAAGUAACUAUGCACGUCUUGACGGUACCUAAUCAGAAAGCCACGGCUAACUACGUG